rnacentral:rRNA from 1 species
AUUGAACGCUGGCGGCAUGCCUUACACAUGCAAGUCGAACGGCAGCACGGGAGCAAUCCUGGUGGCGAGUGGCGAACGGGUGAGUAAUACAUCGGAACGUGCCCAGUAGUGGGGGAUAACCCGGCGAAAGCCGGACUAAUACCGCAUACGACCUACGGGUGAAAGCGGGGGAUCGCAAGACCUCGCGCUAUCGGAGCGGCCGAUGUCAGAUUAGCUAGUUGGUGGGGAAAAGCCCACCAAGGCGACGAUCUGUAGCUGGUCUGAGAGGAUGAUCAGCCACACUGGGACUGAGACACGGCCCAGACUCCUACGGGAGGCAGCAGUGGGGAAUUUUGGAC